GGAGGGUGCAAGCGUUGUCCGGAAUUACUGGGUGUAAAGGGUGUGCAGGCGGACGGGCAAGUCAGCGGUGAAAGCCCACAGCUCAACUGUGGAAGUGCCGUUGAAACUGCUCGUCUUGAGUCCCGGAGAGGUCAUCGGAAUUCGUGGUGUAGCGGUGAAAUGCGUAGAUAUCACGAGGAACACCAGAAGCGUAAGCGGAUGACCGGACGGUGACUGACGCUUAGGCACGAAAGCGUGGGGAGCAAACAGGAUUAGAUACCCUGGUAGUCCACGCCGUAAACGAUGGAUGCUAGAUGUUGCCCCCUUCUUGUGGGGCAGUGUUCAAGCUAACGCGGUAAGCAUCCCACCUGGGGAGUACGUUCGCAAGGAUG
rnacentral:rRNA from 1 species